rnacentral:rRNA from 1 species
GCACUAGCUACUUGCAUCAUUGUAAAAAUGAUGCAGGAUCGACUAUGUCGAAUAAAAUUCUAGGUAGAAUUUUGAUAAUGACAUUGUCUGCCUAUGUGUCUUGACCAAAUUACGUGCCAGCAGUCGCGGUAAUACGUAGAAGACUAGUGUUAUUCAUGUUUAAUCGGUUUAAAGGGUACCUAGACGGUAAAUCAAGCCUAAAAUUAAGUGAAGGGACUAAUUUACUAGAGUUACUUAUGAGGGGGUAUUAAAGUACUGCUGGUGUAGAGAUGAAAUUCUGUCAUACCUCUUUUCAAUAGAAAAAUAACGGCACAGGUAUAGGCGAAAGCAUCCCCUUAUGUGAUAACUGACGUUGAGGGACGAAGGCUUUGUGUAGCGAACAGGAUUAGAUACCCCAGUAGUCAAAGCAGAAAAUGAUGAAUGUCAUAGAUUAGAUAAAUAAGUUUAUUCUAUAAAUGAAAGUGUAAGCAUUCCACCUCAAGAGUAAUUUGGCAACAUUGGAACUGAAAUCAUUAGACCGUUUCUGAAACCAGUAGUGAAGUAUGUUGUUUAAUUUGAUGAUCCGCAAAAAACCUUACCACAAUUUGAAUAUUUAUAUCUUUUAUUGUUUUUUUUUUAUUUUUCUUCGGAUUUUCAUUGUAKGAUUUUCUUCUUAUUC